rnacentral:lncRNA from 1 species
CACUAACUCUCGGCCCCACGACGGAGAGCCGCCUGUGGGCAGGGGAGGCCGCGUCAUCUCUAUGGUCACCGGCGGCCGCUCUGGGCCGAGCAGCCGAAAACUCGGUGGCGUAAGGCCUCCGCACGGUGGCUUUCCGGCCAACAAACGGAAGGACGGCAUGAGAGGCCAAGAGGACUUCCGCUCCCACCUGCCGAUCACGGGGCCCACCAAUCACAGGCGCCCGCCCGGCACAGCGCCCACCAAUCAUAGGCACUUCCACUUCAAGCGCCCCGCCCUCAACCCACUUCCGGCCUGGAGCCCCGGAAGCGGUGAAAAGACAGACCGACGACGCCCUGAGAGAAAGAGGCGGGAAGAGGGAGAGGAGAAGCGGCCCCGAGGCGGUGCGGCGUCCGCUACUUACUGUAGGAGUAGCUGCUCACUUCCGAGGCGAACGGGGAGUGGGCCGACUUGGGCUGGCCUCUGGCCUUGAACCCGGCCUCCAUCUUCCGGGCUUUGGCGGCCCUUUUGGGUUUACCUUCUCUGGAGGCCUUGAGAGACAGGCCGAGGCCCUUGGCCAGCGCCUUCCUGUCCUUGCCCAGCAGGCUGUCAUAGGGCGUCAGGUAACAUUGCAUAAGGAGGAAAAAGUUGGGAGAGUGUCAUUUAAGCAACAACAAAAGCAUCCUUCACGAUUUGAGUAGAGAGGAUCCUGACGUACACACUGGCUCUCUUCCCGCCCACCCCAGAUCCAGUCUCCCUGGGUGAGUGUGUGCCGCUGGUGGCCAGAUCAACCAAAACAGCCCCCUCGCACAGGGCUGUACAGGGAGGAAUGACAAGGGACCCUCGUGUUUAGAAACAAGGGCCUUAAGUGGAUGAUUUCAGUGCUCUGCAGAAAUAAGAAAAAUCCAGAACUUGGCUCUUACCCCUCGACCCCUGGAGAGUUCACAGAGGAAACUACAAUGGCACCAAGCCACUGUUUCUUACACCGGCAGAAUGGUGAAGCCGCCCAUUAAACAAUUACAGCAGCAAACAAGAGAGUGAUCACAUCAUUUGGUUAAGAACUUGCACUCCCUCUGCUGAGCUUCAGCACAGGGUCAGAGCACACACAGGGCACAUGGCUGUCAGUCUCAGCUCCACCUGAGGCUGUGUUACUUUGGCAAGUGUCAGACCGCCUCUGGACCUCUGGACUUUCCCCCUCUGCACAAUAAGGAAGAUUGAAGAGUCACUCUGGCACUAAGGCAAUCGUGUCCGCAGUUUCUGUGCAGCAGCAGGGCGAACAGAUCUGCAAAGGGCGCACGAACUCCGGCACACCCUACAGACCUUCCGCCCCAAGAUGGCAGCACACCUGGGAGCCAGGGUUACUGACCUGACUCAUGAAGUCCGACGAGGCUUCAUGCUCAUCCCAAGGCUGGCUCCUGCCCCUAGCUUUCCCCGUCCCAACGAGGCCAUCAUGUUCCUCCUCGGGCCCCUUGUGUCUCUUCCUCAUCCCUGCUCCCAGCUCGUAGUCAUCCGCUGUCAGCAGGGACUUGCUGCUCAGCCUGAAACCCAGAGGCACCGUUGGUCAGCACCCGGCCAGGCGGCCCUCAAGGGCAGGGGUCGCCCCUCGUGGCCCGGAAGGGUGGGCUCUGGAUGUCCAAGCACACACAGUGAUGACAGAGUGACGAGUCUAGGGAGACGUAUCCUGCAAAACUAUAGUGCUGGAAUGGUGGGAUAUUUGUGAAUGAGGCAGAACGAGAGUUGAAGGUGAAAGAAGAACUCCAAGUCAGUCUCUGCUGGCCUCUUUCUCUCUCGUGCUCCUCCACACACGCUCGCACACACAUCUUUGGUUAGAAACCUGUUCACCAAAAGGUGCCAAGAACAAGGAUCAGAAAUGCCACGGAAAGGCGCCAGGAUGAGGGGGAUGCAGAUCAAGGGCUUCUCUGAAGGAGCCACUGGCCGGUCUCCUGCAGCCUUGGGGGCACGGCAGUGGGACGUGGGCCCGGCUCAAAGGUUUCUCCUGCCUGCUUUAAGCUCAGCCCUCCCAAGCGAGAGAAUUGGCCCAUCCGUACGUGGCACUCACUGUGUGUCCUGCUCCGUGUUAGUGCUUUAGAUUUUAGCCACAAAAUGACACUUUGUUCUACACGCUGUUCUUUACAGAGGAAGAAACAGGCUCAGAAAAGCUAACACCUGGCCGAGGUCACAGUGAGGGGCGGACCUGGGACUCGAAAGCAGGAAGCACAACCGCCGCUAGGGUCCACUCUCCUAACCAGGGGGCCUGCUCGCUGGCAGCCCAGCCUCUGCUGUCUUCUCCAGGAGCUGCUUCCCUCCCCUCCUAUGGCUGGUGAUGGGUAUUUCUUCCUUCCCUCAUCCUCUCCUCAGUCAGGAACAUCCUGUGGGGGCGCUUGGGGCCAUCUUCUCCUGAGAAAACCUGUGGCUGGCCCACAGCCUCUCCUGUGCCUUUAGAAGGUAGCCCGUGGCCCCUCUGCUUCCUCAAGCCAAGCACUGGGCCUCGUAGCAUCCACCCCGCCCUGAUGUCCCACGCUGAAGCCCAUUCCAACCCCCUUCCUUCGCUGGGCCUCCCGCAGCCCAUGCUGCUCCCCAACACCUAGG